UGAAAGAAAGGGAAUACGGGUGCUGGCGAAAGGGGAAGGGGCCCAGGGCACAGAUGGAAGGGCUGGCCACAGAUGGGCGGGCAGGGUGCAGAGCUGCAGGCAUUCCCGUGACUUUGGUGGUGGGAAGAUCUGGCAGUUGGUCUGAUUGUACCUAUUUUCUUUAUGAAGGAUAGUCUGAGGUCAGACCGAGAACGAAAGAGGAAGGGGUGUUGAAAAUACGCCUAGAGGGGAGAAAGUGUGAAAUGGUUGCACUGUGGAGAGGGAAAAGGAAUUUUCUAAGAAACCGUAGUAGGAUUGUCCAGCAGUUCAAAUGCCCAUUUGAAAUUUAUGCCAUAAAUGUGAGGUGACUCCAUCCAGAGGAGCUGGGUGGAUCCGAGAACAGCGCAAGGAAGUUAAGAGUGUUUGCAGGGGAUUUCGCGUGCUGGAUUAUGAAAUCUCAGCUGGCUGAGAAGUGAAGACCUGAAGGGAGAUAAAUCCUGAAGAAACCGCAGAGCGAUGGCCUGGAAGUCUCUGCCUGGCCCUGAGCUAACAUCUGUGCCCACCUUCCUCUACUUUAUAUGUGGGACGCCUACCACAGCAUGGCAUGCCAAGUGGUGCCAUGUCGGCACCCAGGAUCCAAACCGGUGAACCCCAGGCCGCAGAGAAGCGGAACGUGCGAACUUAACCGCUGAGCCACCGGGCUGGCCCCUGAAGUCUUUUUAAUGUUCUUCCAGAAAGUUUAAGCUAAUGCGAAGUGGGUUUCUUUCAUGGAAAACCAAAGGAGUCCUGACCUACUCGGGCCUUCAAAGACAAAGGAGGGUGGCCAAGUGGGGAGCAGCGAGGGAAGUGUUCUGCCUGGAGAGGCUGGCCAGGCGGCAAUGGAGAUGUGGGACCCGGAACAGGGAGGAGCACAUGCUCGAGUGGGAGCACCACCGGACAAAGUAUUUUCUGGUUUAGGAGCUGAGACCUCUUACCAACAGCCAGCACCAAGCUGCCAGGCAAGUGAGGGCGCCAUCUUGGAAGUGGAUCCUCCAGCCCCAGUCAAGCCUUCAGAUGAUUGCAGCCUCAGCUAAUAUCUUGACUAAAACCUUGUAAGAGACCCUGAACCAGAGCUGUCAAGAAGCUGGGGACGGAGAUGUUCUGCCUCAGGUGUGCUGUGAGCAGUAUUAAUAACUGAGGAUACCUUGCUGCUAGGUUGUGCAUAAUGUGAUGGGCUAAGGACCAUCUGGACAAGUUACAAAGCUUCUUUUGAAAUGACCAGUUUCACACCCAUCUGAAGUGUGCUGCAGAAGCCAGUGGUCUCAGGGAGGACCUGCCUGGGCUGACAGACCUCAUUCACAUGACCUCCAGGGCUCAGGAGCUGGACGGAGCUGUGGGGCACAUGACAGCUGCGUUUCAUCAGCGAAUGUGAACUCAUGUCCAAGAAGUCCCCACCCCUCUCGGUACCUGAGAUUCUGGGAAAUCAGCUCUAUUUUCAGCCUCUAGGUUUCCUUGUCAUUAUGAGUGCUGAGCUCCUCGGAAACAGGUGGCCACCGGGGAGCUGAAAAAGAGGAAGAUGAAGUGAGACCCACACAGCCCCGCAAGGAGACAGUUCUAAACCCCGAAGACUGGAAACCGUUGUCCAAAGUCCUUUGGGCAGUCACCCCGGAGACGUCCGCUGUGUUUGGGAAUACAUCUGGCAGGGCUUCCCUCAGGAACCGAAUGGUCAGCCAAUUUGAGCCUCCUUCCUUGAAAGAACUUCGAUAUAAAACAUUUGAAAAGAGUGUUUUAACACUUCUGUAUUUCUUGCUGCUUAUUCCUUUCUUU
ensembl:lncRNA